UACGGGGGUGCGAGCGUUGUCCGGAUUCAUUGGGCGUAAAGGGUGCGUAGGCGGCGCGGUAAGUCGGGUGUGAAAUCUCGGAGCUUAACUCCGAAACUGCAUUCGAUACUGCCGUGCUUGAGGACUGGAGAGGAGACUGGAAUUUACGGUGUAGCGGUGAAAUGCGUAGAUAUCGUAAGGAAGACCAGUGGCGAAGGCGGGUCUCUGGACAGUUCCUGACGCUGAGGCACGAAGGCCAGGGGAGCAAACGGG
rnacentral:rRNA from 1 species